CUGUUUCACAUGUUGUUCCAGCAGCAGAAACGAGCUUCCUCCAGUGAAUUGAAUAAAUUGAAACUCAGACCAACUCAAGCGACAAUCUAAAGGGAAAAGGUUAGAACCCUGGACCUGAGAGAAAGCUCUUUUAGAGGGAGAGAGAGCG